rnacentral:lncRNA from 1 species
UAGUCAAUACAUUUUAGCUAUAUAAUUUCUGUACUCUAGAGUCACCCUAGGGCAGUGAAUCUCAAUCUUUCCCCCUGAAAUAGCCCUAACCCUAGAUGAGAACAAGUGGGAGCUGGGUUUGGGAGGGAUGGUCUGGAAGGGCAAUGUAGCCUGUAAUUAUUUUUUAAAACUGCCUUAUUUUUAAAAAGUGAAUGUGAAAUUUGUGAUGUGCUCUAUGUUUGUGUUUCUUUUAGUGUACACACAAUUUUAAAUUAGUUGCCAUGAGAUAAAACUGAUGACCCAGGAAGUCAGGACUUGUGCCUUCUGUGCUUUUGUGU